UACGGGGGGGGCAAGCGUUGUUCGGAAUUACUGGGCGUAAAGGGCGCGUAGGCGGUUCGCUAAGUUGGAUGUGAAAACUCUGGGCUUAACCCAGAGCCUGCAUCCAAAACUGGCGAACUUGAGUACUGGAGGGGAAAGCGGAAUUCCUGGUGUAGCGGUGAAAUGCGUAGAUAUCAGGAGGAACACCGGUGGCGAAGGCGGCUUUCUGGACAGUAACUGACGCUGAGGCGCGAAAGCUAGGGGAGCAAACAGG
rnacentral:rRNA from 1 species